UACGUAGGGUGCAAGCGUUGUCCGGAAUCAUUGGGCGUAAAGGGCGCGUAGGUGGCCCGGUCAGUCUUUGGUGAAAGCGCGGGGCUCAACCCUGCGUCGGCCAGGGAUACUGCCGCGGCUCGAGCACUGUAGAGGCAGGCGAAUUCCGGGGUGUAGCGGUGGAAUGCGUAGAGAUCCGGAAGAACACCGGUGGCGAAGGCGGUCUGCUGGGCAGUUGCUGGACACUGAGGCGCGACAGCGUGGGGAGCAA
rnacentral:rRNA from 1 species